GGGGGAUUGGAUUAACGGUUAUAUCGCCAUGCUUACACUAUGGAUACAGAGGUUCGACUCCUCUAUCCCUUA